UCUUGGCUGUGGCCAAGUUCAGACGACAUGUUGUCCUCUGAUAACACGUGACUCGCCAGCCUGCUGUUAGCUCGGGUUCCAUCUUCAGUGACACAACCUUGGUGCGUGCUGCAUGGGGGAGGACAUCUAUGAUGGAUGGCGUUGGACCCUAUUUACCGUGCAAACUGGACAUAGAGUCUGGAAGAUGAGUUCACAUCAGGCAGGAAGGGUCAAGCAAAAGAUGCUGCUCUAUUGCAUCAUGGAAAGUGAAGAUGUUCUAGGAGCUGUGUACUGCCCGGUGUGUUGUUGGGAGCAGUUGAGAUGAAAUGCAUGCGGCUGGAGGAUUCAACCUAGACAUGG